rnacentral:misc_RNA from 1 species
GAGCACUGACGGCUUCAGCAUUGGAAGCAUUUUGCUUGAUUUUAUUGGAGGGGUGACAAAUUAUGCGCAAAUGGCUGUGCAGUCUAUAGACCAAAGUGCUUAAACUCUUCCAAACUGAAAAAUCUUUUUGGCUGAAAAGAUACUUCAUGCAUAAUGUUGACUUAAUCUCAUUUUCCUUCCAGAUUCUUGGGUAAACUUUUAUGGCA